rnacentral:rRNA from 1 species
GAUGAACGCUGGCGGCGUGCCUAAUACAUGCAAGUCGAGCGAACGGACGAGAAGCUUGCUUUUCUGAUGUUAGCGGCGGACGGGUGAGUAACACGUGUAUAACCUACCUAUAAGACUGGGAUAACUUCGGGAAACCGGAGCUAAUACCGGAUAAUAUUUUGAACCGCAUGGUUCAAAAGUGAAAGACGGUCUUGCUGUCACUUAUAGAUGGAUCCGCGCUGCAUUAGCUAGUUGGUAAGGUAACGGCUUACCAAGGCAACGAUGCAUAGCCGACCUGAGAGGGUGAUCGGACACACUGGAACUGAGACACGGUCCAGACUCCUACGGGAGGCAGCAGUAGGGAAUCUUCCGCAAUGGGCGAAAGCCUGACGGAGCAACGCCGCGUGAGUGAUGAAGGUCGUCGGAUCGUAAAACUCUGUUAAUAGGGAAGAACAUAUGUGUAAGUAACUGUGCACAUCUUGACGGUACCUAAUCAGAAAGCCACGGCUAACUACG